rnacentral:rRNA from 1 species
GACGAACGCUGGCGGGGUGCUUAACACAUGCAAGUCGAACGGAAAGGCCCUGCUUUUGUGGGGUGCUCGAGUGGCGAACGGGUGAAUAACACGUGAGUAACCUGCCCUUGACUUUGGGAUAACUUCAGGAAACUGGGGCUAAUACCGGAUAGGAGCUCCUGCUGCAUGGUGGGGGUUGGAAAGUUUCGGCGGUUGGGGAUGGACUCGCGGCUUAUCAGCUUGUUGGUGGGGUAGUGGCUUACCAAGGCUUUGACGGGUAGCCGGCCUGAGAGGGUGACCGGCCACAUUGGGACUGAGAUACGGCCCAGACUCCUACGGGAGGCAGCAGUGGGGAAUAUUGCACAAUGGGCGGAAGCCUGAUGCAGCAACGCCGCGUGCGGGAUGACGGCCUUCGGGUUGUAAACCGCUUUCGCCUGUGACGAAGCGUGAGUGACGGUAAUGGGUAAAGAAGCACCGGCUAACUACGUG